rnacentral:rRNA from 1 species
AUUGAACGCUGGCGGCAGGCCUAACACAUGCAAGUCGAGCGAGCGGCGGACGGGUGAGUAAUGUCUGGGGAACUGCCUGAUGGAGGGGGAUAACUACUGGAAACGGUAGCUAAUACCGCAUACCAUCAGAUGUGCCCAGAUGGGAUUAGCUAGUAGGUGGGGUAACGGCGAACCAAGGCGACGAUCCCUAGCUGGUCUUAGAGGAUGACCAGGAACACUGGAACUGAGACACGGUCCAGACGCCUACGGGAGGCAGCAGUGGGGAAUAUUGCACAAUGGGCGCAAGUCUGAGGCAGCCAUGCCGCGUGUGUGAAGAAGGCCUUCGGGUUGUAAAGCACUUUCAGCGGGGAGGCGUUACCCGCAGAAGAAGCACCGGAUAACUCCGUGCCAGCAGCCGCGGUAAUUC